GGGCUUGACAUCCCACGAACUCUUCCGAAAGGAAGAGGUGCCCGCAAGGGAGCGCGGAGACAGGUGGUGCAUGGCUGUCGUCAGCUCGUGUCGUGAGAUGUUGGGUUAAGUCCCGCAACGAGCGCAACCCUCACCCCUUGUUGCCACCAGGUCAUGCUGGGCACUCUAGGGGAACUGCCCCGGUCAACGGGGAGGAAGGCGGGGACGACGUCAAGUCAUCAUGCCCCUUACGUCCUGGGCUACACACGUGCUACAAUGGCCGGUACAGAGGGAUGCAAGACCGCGAGGUGGAGCUAAACCCAAAAAGCCGGUCUAAGUUCAGAUUGGAGUCUGCAACUCGACUCCAUGAAGGAGGAAUCGCUAGUAAUCGCGUAUCAGCACGACGCGGUGAAUACGUUCCCGGGCCUUGUACACACCGCCCGUCACACCACGAAAGCCUGUUGUACUCGAAGUCGCUGAG
rnacentral:rRNA from 1 species